rnacentral:pre_miRNA from 1 species
AAUAAACGAAUUUCUAAGUUUUUGGAUAGAAUUUUUGACUCUUCGUCUUAUUUGAAAUUUUUUUUGUGAUUAAUAUUUUUAUUGUUACUACAUGAUAAAACAUGAAUAACACUUUACGUGUGACUAAUUUUUUCAAUUUUUUAAUAAAUUUUUUAAAUAAGACGGAUAAUUAAAUACUCAAACUACAAAACUCAGA